rfam:Ailuropoda melanoleuca scaffold3025_16, whole genome shotgun sequence.
GUGCUCAGUUUGGCAGUACAUAUUCUAAAAUUGGAAUGAUACAGAGAUUAGCAUGGCCCCUGUGCAAGGAUGACCUGCAAAUUUGUGAAACAUUUAAUAUAUUU